GAUGAACGCUAGCUCCAGGCUUAACACAUGCAAGUCGAGGGAGCGGCGGACGGGUGAGUAAUGUCUGGGAAACUGCCUGAUGGAGGGGGAUAACUACUGGAAACGGUCGCUAAUACCGCAUACCAUCAGAUGUGCCCAGAUGGGAUUAGCUGGUAGGUGGGGUAACGGCUCACCUAGGCGACGCUCCCUAGCUGGUCUGAGAGGAUGACAAGCCACACUGGAACUGAGACACGGUCCAGACUCCUACGGGAGGCAGCAGUGGGGAAUAUUGCACAAUGGGCGAAAGCCUGAUGCAGCCAUGCCGCGUGUAUGAAGAAGGCCUUCGGGUUGUAAAGUACUUUCAGCGGGGAGGCGUUACCCGCAGAAGAAGCACCGGCUAACUCCGUGCCAGCAGCCGCGGUAAUUC
rnacentral:rRNA from 1 species